rnacentral:misc_RNA from 1 species
UAAAAAUUAAAAAAAAAAAAAAGAGUAAUUUUAGGAGUAUAGAUUGCAGCAAAUCCAAAAGGGAAUUAUUUGGAAGGAAAAGAUUGUUGAUGGCUGAUGUUGUAAAAUUAUUUACUAGAUUUGUUUGGCUGAUUUCUGUUUAUAUGAUAAGUCACAGAAAUGUAUAUAUAUAUCUAUAGCUAUUGCACUCCUGAAGAAAAGAAGCUUAGUCAUAGAAGUUGUUGGCUAGAAAUAGGGAUCAAAAAUUAAAUUACGUUACCUGAU